rnacentral:rRNA from 1 species
GAUGAACGCUGGCGGCGUGCCUAAUACAUGCAAGUCGAGCGAACAGACGAGGAGCUUGCUCCUUUGACGUUAGCGGCGGACGGGUGAGUAACACGUAGGUAACCUACCUAUAAGACUGGGAUAACUUCGGGAAACCGGAGCUAAUACCGGAUAAUAUUUCGAACCGCAUGGUUCUAUAGUGAAAGAUGGCUUUGCUAUCACUUAUAGAUGGACCUGCGCCGUAUUAGCUAGUUGGUAAGGUAACGGCUUACCAAGGCAACGAUACGUAGCCGACCUGAGAGGGGGAUCGGCCACACUGGAACUGAGACACGGUCCAGACUCCUACGGGAGGCAGCAGUAGGGAAUCUUCCGCAAUGGGCGAAAGCCUGACGGAGCAACGCCGCGUGAGUGAUGAAGGUCUUCGGAUCGUAAAACUCUGUUAUUAGGGAAGAACAAACGUGUAAGUAACUGUGCACGUCUUGACGGUACCUAAUCAGAAAGCCACGGCUAACUACGUG